rnacentral:rRNA from 1 species
GGGGAAUAUUGCACAAUGGAGGAAACUCUGAUGCAGCAACGCCGCGUGAGUGAUGAAGGUCUUCGGAUUGUAAAGCUCUGUCUUCUGGGACGAUAAUGACGGUACCAGAGGAGGAAGCCAUGGCUAACUACGUGCCAGCAGCCGCGGUAAUACGUAGGUGGCAAGCGUUGUCCGGAUUUACUGGGCGUAAAGGAUGUGUAGGCGGAUAUUUAAGUGAGAUGUGAAAUCCCUGGGCUUAACUUGGGGGCUGCAUUUCAAACUGGAUGUCUAGAGUGCAGGAGAGGAAAGCAGAAUUCCUAGUGUAGCGGUGAAAUGCGUAGAGAUUAGGAAGAAUACCAGUGGCGAAGGCGGCUUUCUGGACUGUAACUGACACUGAGGCGCGAAAGCGUGGGGAGCAAAC